rnacentral:hammerhead_ribozyme from 1 species
AUCCAGCUGACGAGUCCGAAGUAGGAAAAAACGCGCGUCCUGGAU